UCUUGACAUCCAGAGAACUUUCCAGAGAUGGAUUGGUGCCUUCGGGAACUCUGAGACAGGUGCUGCAUGGCUGUCGUCAGCUCGUGUUGUGAAAUGUUGGGUUAAGUCCGCAACGAGCGCAACCCCUAUCCUUUGUUGCCAGCGAUUCGGUCGGGAACUCAAAGGAGACUGCCGGUGAUAAACCGGAGGAAGGUGGGGAUGACGUCAAGUCAUCAUGGCCCUUACGAGUAGGGCUACACACGUGCUACAAUGGCGUAUACAAAGAGAAGCGACCUCGCGAGAGCAAGCGGACCUCAUAAAGUACGUCGUAGUCCGGAUUGGAGUCUGCAACUCGACUCCAUGAAGUCGGAAUCGCUAGUAAUCGUAGAUCAGAAUGCUACGGUGAAUACGUUCCCGGGCCUUGUACACACCGCCCGUCACACCAUGGGAGUGGGUUGCAAAAGAAGUAGAUAGCUUAACCUUCGGGAGGGCGUUUACCACUUUGUGAUUCAUGACUGGGGUGAAGUCGUAACAAGGUAGGCGUAGCGAG
rnacentral:rRNA from 1 species